CGUAGGGACCAAGCGUUGUUCGGAUUUACUGGGCGUAAAGGGCGCGUAGGCGGCAAUUCAAGUCAGCUGUGAAAUCUCCGGGCUUAACUCGGAACGGUCAGCUGAUACUGCUUUGCUAGAGUGCAGAAGGGGCAAUCGGAAUUCUUGGUGUAGCGGUGAAAUGCGUAGAUAUCAAGAGGAACACCUGAGGUGAAGACGGGUUGCUGGGCUGACACUGACGCUGAGGCGCGAAAGCUAGGGUAGCAAACGGGAUUAGAUACCCCGGUAGUCCUAGCCCUAAACGAUGAAUACUUGGUGUCUGGAGUUUUUAUCCUCCGGGUGCCGUCGCUAACGUUUUAAGUAUUCCGCCUGGGGAGUACGCACGCAAGUGUG
rnacentral:rRNA from 1 species